rnacentral:rRNA from 1 species
GAUGAACGCUGGCGGCGUGCCUAAUACAUGCAAGUCGAGCGAACGGACGAGAAGCUUGCUUCUCUGAUGUUAGCGGCGGACGGGUGAGUAACACGUGGAUAACCUACCUAUAAGACUGGGAUAACUUCGGGAAACCGGAGCUAAUACCGGAUAAUAUUUUGAACCGCAUGGUUCAAAAGUGAAAGACGGUCUUGCUGUCACUUAUAGAUGGAUCCGCGCUGCAUUAGCUAGUUGGUAAGGUAACGGCUUACCAAGGCAACGAUGCAUAGCCGACCUGAGAGGGGGAUCGGCCACACGGGAGCGGAGACGCGGUCCAGACUCCUACGGGAGGCAGCAGUAGGGAAUCUUCCGCAAUGGGCGAAAGCCUGACGGAGCAACGCCGCGUGAGUGAUGAAGGUCUUCGGAUCGUAAAACUCUGUUAUUAGGGAAGAACAUAUGUGUAAGUAACUGUGCACAUCUUGACGGUACCUAAUCAGAAAGCCACGGCUAACUACGUG